CUGCCAGUUACUAGGGAAACGGGCAGGGAGGCAGCUGGGUCAGGCUGGGAGGGUGGCAAUCGGCAGAAGUCGACAUUUCAGCCCUCUCCAUGUGCCUCAAACCCCCUCCCCUGCUAGACGAAGCCUCUGGGACCUUAGAGAUGAGGUCUGGGGGGCUUUCUUAAUUUGCUUCCAACCUGGCCCCUGCAGUCACAAUCCAGAGGGACAACACUUGGAAAGAAGGGCUCCAUGACCUUCAACACUAUGAACACCAACCUCUAACCAGCUACCACUAAUAGGCCAGUAAUCCGGCCCAGCUUAAAGCAGCAAGAUAAGA
rnacentral:lncRNA from 1 species